ACGCUCGACACCUACGGGAGGCAGCAGUGGGGAAUAUUGCACAAUGGGGGAAACCCUGAUGCAGCGACGCCGCGUGGAGGAAGAAGGUCUUCGGAUUGUAAACUCCUGUUGUUGGGGAAAAAGAGGAUGGUACCCAACAAGGAAGUGACGGCUAACUACGUGCCACAGCCGCGGUAAUCUGAGCGGGCUGGCAAGGC
rnacentral:rRNA from 1 species